CCUACGGGAGGCAGCAGUGGGGAAUAUUGGACAAUGGGCGGAAGCCUGAUCCAGCCAUGCCGCGUGUGUGAAGAAGGCCUUUUGGUUGUAAAGCACUUUAAGCGAGGAGGAGGCUACUAGUAUUAAUACUACUGGAUAGUGGACGUUACUCGCAGAAUAAGCACCGGCUAACUCUGUGCCAGCAGCCGCGGUAAUACAGAGGGUGCGAGCGUUAAUCGGAUUUACUGGGCGUAAAGCGUGCGUAGGCGGCUGAUUAAGUCGGAUGUGAAAUCCCUGAGCUUAACUUAGGAAUUGCAUUCGAUACUGGUCAGCUAGAGUAUGGGAGAGGAUGGUAGAAUUCCAGGUGUAGCGGUGAAAUGCGUAGAGAUCUGGAGGAAUACCGAUGGCGAAGGCAGCCAUCUGGCCUAAUACUGACGCUGAGGUACGAAAGCAUGGGGAGCAAACAGGAUUAGAUACCCUGGUAGUCCAUGCCGUAAACGAUGUCUACUAGCCGUUGGGGUCUUUGAGACUUUAGUGGCGCAGCUAACGCGAUAAGUAGACCGCCUGGGGAGUACGGUCGCAAGACUAAAACUCAAAAGUAGUAGUUAGGACGUUGAGGACGAGCGACCGGACGGACACCGAGGGGAAGGGGUUAAGGGGAGGG
rnacentral:rRNA from 1 species